ACGAACGCUGGCGGCGUGCCUAAUACCUGCAAGUUGAGCGAUGAAGAUUGGUGCUUGCACCAAUUUGAAGAGCAGCGAACGGGUGAGUAACGCGUGGGGAAUCUGCCUUUGAGCGGGGGACAACAUUUGGAAACGAAUGCUAAUACCGCAUAACAACUUUAAACAUAAGUUUUAAGUUUGAAAGAUGCAAUUGCAUCACUCAAAGAUGAUCCCGCGUUGUAUUAGCUAGUUGGUGAGGUAAAGGCUCACCAAGGCGAUGAUACAUAGCCGACCUGAGAGGGUGAUCGGCCACAUUGGGACUGAGACACGGCCCAAACUCCUACGGGAGGCAGCAGUAGGGAAUCUUCGGCAAUGGACGAAAGUCUGACCGAGCAACGCCGCGUGAGUGAAGAAGGUUUUCGGAUCGUAAAACUCUGUUGGUAGAGAAGAACGUUGGUGAGAGUGGAAAGCUCAUCAAGUGACGGUAACUACCCAGAAAGGGACGGCUAACUACGUG
rnacentral:rRNA from 1 species